UAAAAGAUAAGCUAAAUAAGCUAAUGGGCUCAUACCCCGUAUAUGAGAGUUCAAUCUCUCUCUUUUUA
rnacentral:tRNA from 1 species